AUCCAAAAUUAAAGAUUCAGCUCUCUCAAAUUCGCCCCUCUAAAAAUUGGCUCUGUGAAAACUCUCUCGUCCAAAUUGGCCCCUCUCUCAAAAUCGUCUCUCUGAAAGCUCUCUCAAAUCCUAAAUAAUCCGCUAGUUCUUCCAUUCCAUAAUUCAUGUUUGUCUACAUGAUCUUGGAUAUUGUGGACUAAUGUCUACGGUUUUAGAAGGCUUUUUAAAGUUUUUAAUGCUCGUCUGUGGGUGAUAGAGGGGCAUAAUUUUCCAACAGUGUGUUUGGAGAACCCGAGCUGCUUUCUAGCAAGGCAGUGUCACCUUUCCCUUCAUAAUUACCUUGACAUUUGGUGAUAUCUUUUAAUUGAUGCAAAGGAAUACAUUUGGUCGAUAGCUUUUAAUUGAUGUAGAGGGAAAGACAAGGGAUAUAUAAUAUUCAGGAAUGAAGUCCCAAUUUGAUGCAUUACUUGCAUGGGGAGGAGGAAUUCCCCCUUGUCUUGGUGAUGCAGUUCGCCCUCCUCGACUCUCUCAGUCUCUACCUAUUUCAUAUCAAGUAUAUGGUUAAUACAGAGAUGUGACUCAGGAGCCCAGCAAUGAUGAAGAUGAUGAGGAUUAUUAUGUUGAUAAUUUACCAUCGCAUUGUUAAUAUUGAGUUUUGUGUUAGAUAAUCUAAACUAUUUACUUUAUGGUGGUUUAUUUAAAUUAUUAAGUAUUUUUUAAUGCAUGAGAGCUUUGAAGUAGUCUAAUCAAUAGUACUAUUGUAUAAAUAACUUUACUACUAUGUUUCUUCAUUCAAUUUCAAGGUACUUUAAGUUGGUUUUCA